GUUCACCAGCCCUUCUUCUCCGACCAGCAGACCGGAUUGACCCUUCACCGCCGUGGUUUUCCCCUUCUACAACACGAGCUCGCAGUGGUCCUUUUCGAGAAGAUCUGGAGCCUUCGUCUCUCUAAUUCAAUUGUCACGAGCUUCUCUCUUGGUACCAUGUAUGCUCCGCCGUUUGUCUCCACCCCGGAAUCUCACAUCAACGCCGUCGUUCAACGUCUGAAGUCGAUUGUCGCAGACGGAAGGGGUUUUAUCUCGAAGACCAAGACACUGGAGUAUCAGUUGUAAGUAUGAGUUCAUCAAGCGCUGAUGUUUCUGAAUCAGAGAGAGCACGUACCGAACCAAACCAACUAUGUUCCUCCUUAUCUUAGGAGCCGUACACAAUCUUCGUACUUUGCUGCUCCUUCACCUGGUAAUCAUCUUAGGUUGUGGGUAUUGUAUUAAUUGCAUCUUCUUGUGUCAUGUUUUGCUUUGUUUCAAUAAAUUUUAAAUCUUGGUUUAUGAGUGUGGAAUCUAAUUACCUAUUAGAAUUGGUAAUGAGUAUGCGCCAUAUUCUUUUGUUCAUAGAAUUGGUAACCUUGUUCCCAAGAUCCUGUCCACAAAAAGAGCAUCCACAAAAUUACAUAUUCAUCUCAAAUCUCAAACCUUCCACAAAUUUGACCCACACUCUCAUUUACAGUAACUUUCCCUACAAUCCAGUUCAGGUUAUCUUUUUGCCUUUAUGUAAAGUAACAAUGAUGUUGUAUUCUUUGUCUUAAGAUAGAUUCAAAGUGUUGGGGUUUCUCAUGGUUAUAGGAGUGUAACACUGCCUUGGCUAAUGGGACUCAAUAGAGAUGUAAAUCCAUCAAGAUUUUAAAGCUCAGAGAGUUGAUAUCUUGAGGGUGAAACAACUAUUCAAAGGAAACCGAGAGCUCAUCUUGGGUUUCAAUACUUUCUUACCAAACGGUUUCGAGAUCACACUUUUAUCCGAAGAAGAUGACCAACCUUCCUCAAAGAAACCUGUUCAGUUUGAAGAAGCUAUUAGUUUUGUCAACACUCCAAGAUUAAUUAGUCAUCAAGAUUAAGAGCAGAAACCUGUCCGCUGCAGGCGUCGCUCUUCAAAUAUCUCUUUCUUUCAUUAAAGGUAAAUUUGUUAAAAAAAUGCAUAGGUCCCAGCAGAAAGUGUGUUAAAUGUGGAAAGUGUCUUUCAUUGUAAAAAAAAGACAAAAAGUAUCUUUUCGUGUAAUCAACUCAAAAAAAAAAUCUGAUUUGGCACUUUUUUUUUU